AAAUACAGCAAAAGCAGUAAUAUUGAGAAAUUGUUACUGUUUAAAACAGCUGUUUUCUAUGUGAAUAUCUGUUAAAAUGUAAUUUAUUUCUCUGUAUUUUCAGCAACAUUACUCCAGUCUUCAGUGUCACAUGAUCUUCAGAAAUCAUUCUAAUAUGAUGAUUUGCUGCUCAAGAAACAAAAUAGUAUUAUAAUAUGAAUGUAUAAUAAAUAAUAAUAAUAAUAAUAAUAAUAAUAAUAAUAAUAANAUAGUAUUAUAAUAUUAAUGUAUAAUAAAUAAUAAUAAUAAUAAUAAUAAUAAUAAAUGUUUUUGUCGGCAGCUAGAGGUCGCGCAAAUCAAAGCUGGCGCACAAAUAAGCAUGAUAUCAAUUAUUAACUAUUUGACGUUGUUUUUUCUUCUCCAGUAAAUAAUAAUCAUAUAGAGCUAUUAUAUUGGUUAUUACUCUAUCGCCGGCGGUUAUUACACUGAUAACACACUAGAUCUCUACAAAUACAUCAGAGCUGAUUACGUUUUGGGGGGUGGGGGGGUUAGUUUGUGACGUAAAAGCUCAUCAGUAUUGGUAUAAAAGCUCCAGCAGCAACCGGCGUCUCCCUUUAGUUCAACACACCUGCGUGCCUCCAUCAGCCUCACUCUUCAUCAUCCUCCUCCUCCUCUUCAUCACCAGGAUGGCUCAGCCGACCCCCGCCGGAGUCAUUUUCUGCGCUUUCUGCUUAAUCACUCAGGUUUUAUCCCAGAACACGAUGUCUCCGAUCAACUCCACCGCGCUGGCGGGAAACCAGACGGUGAACGCGAACGACACCCUGGCGACUAACGCGAACACCGCAGCGGCGAACGCCACCACCACCGCUCCGGCGGGAGCCGGCGUUCUGACGCAGGCCAGCGUGCUCAACGUGCUUGUUCCCAUCGCCAUGGCAACCGGCCUCCUGCAGCGCUGGUGCUGAGCGUUCACCGUUCUGCACCGCAUCAUCUCCACCUGUAGCUUUACCAUCACUCAAAUAUCUGCAAGGUCUGGUCGCUUCAUCAGAACGCUCUGGAGAACGCUUUAGCCCUGAAGUAGAAGAACGGAUGGAUGACGACAUUUCAAACGGCUUGCGUUCCCAAACCCAAACAUCCGAUUUAAAUUAUUUUUUUUUUUUUUGCAUUGCUGAGCCUUCAAACGCACAUCUGACAUUGAACGGUUUUAGCUGAACGGCCGGAUUGCGCAAACCGUUCCGAGCCGUUCUAAACUAAACAGGCUCUUUCAUUGGUCACGUGGUGGUUUAUACCAGUUUCAGGUGGAUUGCAUCUAUAUUUGCCCACUUUAGUUAUCAAUCAAACUGUUAGUCGUUCAUUGGGAUGAGGUGGACUCUUUGUAAUACUGUUUUUCUCUUGCAUAGUUUAUAUUUUGUACAAAUCGAAAUGUUUUAAUGUUUGUAACAUGAGUACAUGACAAUAAACAAUGUAGAAUUGAACCA
ensembl:lncRNA